ensembl:lncRNA
CAACGGUCGAUGGUUUUGAUUUUAAUUCCAAACUCACCGACAGCGUUGAAUGUUCACUGAAGCAACCUCUAAACUCAGAAUUCUGUUGACUUUACAGCCUCUGUCAGAUGAAUGACACCAAAAUUUGGCAAAUAAUACUGAUUUGAAAGCUUGGAGAAAACACACCGUUCUGUGAAGCCACACUGCAAGACUGUCUCUGAUAAGAGUUGGGGCUGUUGAGAAGCCUUUGCCUGGUGUUUAUUGUUACCCAGCUCUCGCCUGUUAUAAGAAGAAGCCCUCGAAUGGAGCCACCCUGAGAGAACAGUCUCAGCAUGUUCUGAGCUCAAAGCAUAUGCUGAAAGAUGAAAAUCCUAAUUGCAGACUGAUGUGCCCAUGGUGUUUUGUUUAGGUUACAUGAAGACCAGAAAAUGGGUUUCGUUUCAAUAUUGGAAUAGAAAAUAUUUUGUUCGAAAAACAAAAGGGAAGAAGAGAAAUGAAAACAAACUUUUCUAUUUUAAAGGAGAGAGGCCAAUGUUCUUGUGCAAAGUGAAUUUUGAGCAAGGCAGAGCAGUUACGUGGGAGGUUUUGGGAGACCCAAGUAAAGUCUGCCUCUUAAUGACCAGGCACAAGCUCCAGGGAGGUUGGGGAUUAACAGCUCACAUGCUUGAAGGUGUGAUCCAUAUUCUGCAAAAUGAUCAGCUGUAGCAGUGAUAAAGGUGAUAUAUUUCCAAUUGUUUUACUUUUUAUUUUCAUUCAGAACCUGAGGAAAAAUGGUGUUAUUUAUUGACUGCCUCAAGAACUUCAAAUACAGUCCUUAAUGCAUUGCUUGAAACAAAUUAACAUAUCUUUGUUUCUUGAAUUCGAGCAAGAUAUUAUCAACACAUACACACACACAUACACACACUUCACUUUAUACUAUUAUUGCAAUACUGUAUUUAUUGUUUAAAUUUUGAUUCAGAAA